rnacentral:misc_RNA from 1 species
GGUUAAAAUGCAUACUUUGAACCCAACAUAAGAGUUUUAACACCAUAACUGAUAACAUUCUUGCAAGCAAAGAGAAAAUCAAAUUGUUUCACGAUGAACCUGUUCGACUUUCCCGCCUUUUAAGUUUUGAUUAUGCAUAAGAACACAAUUUCAUAAUACAUAAUAUAUAAACUACUAAAUACCACAGCAGGGAAUCAGACCCCGAUGGUCACAGCAACUAUUCGAUAGAUAAUACAAAUUACCACAGCAGGGACAGAGAUGGUCACAGCAACUAUCCCAUGGCAAAUUUUUGAGUCCAGCUCCGGGCAGUUGUCUCAUACUUGCUCCUAUCAGUUUUGUACAUAUGAGCAAUCUCCGGCACCAAAGGGUCAUCGGGAUUAGGGUCUGUCAGCAGAGAACAGAUAGAGAGCAGUACCUUGGAGAUGGUAAGUGCAGGGCUCCACUGUUCCUUCAAAAUGUCAAGGCAAAUGCUGCCAUUGCUAUUGAUGUUCGGGUGGAAAACCUUUGUCCUGAAAGCUACCUUUGGUGGCUUGAAUGGAUAGUCAGGUGGAAAAUGAAUAGUAACAAGAAACACUCCACCAGAAUAGGGACUGUCAGCUGGACCCAUGAUUGUUGCUUGCCAGUGGAACAUGUCAUCAGCAACUGGU